CUACGGGGCGCUCCAGUGGGGAAUAUUGCACAAUGGACGAAAGUCUGAUGCAGCAACGCCGCGUGGAGGAUGACACAUUUCGGUGCGUAAACUCCUUUUAUAUAGGAAGAUAAUGACGGUACUAUAUGAAUAAGCACCGGCUAACUCCGUGCCAGCAGCCGCGGUAAUACGGAGGGUGCAAGCGUUACUCGGAAUUACUGGGCGUAAAGAGCGUGUAGGCGGGUUUGUAAGUUGGAUGUGAAAUCCUAUGGCUCAACCAUAGAACUGCAUCCAAAACUGCUUACCUAGAAUAUGGGAGAGGUAGAUGGAAUUUCUGGUGUAGGGGUAAAAUCCGUAGGGAUCAGAAGGAAUACCGAUUGCGAAGGUGAUCUACUGGAACAUUAUUGACGCUGAGACGCGAAAGCGUGGGGAGCAAACAGGAUUAGAUACCCUCGUAGUC
rnacentral:rRNA from 1 species